rnacentral:rRNA from 1 species
AAGUCGUAACAAGGUUUCCGUAGGUGAACCUGCGGAAGGAUCAUUACAGAGUUCAUGCCCUCACGGGUAGAUCUCCCACCCUUUGAAUACUAUACCUCUGUUGCCUUGGCGGGCCGCUCCGGCUACCGGCUCCGGCUGGUGAGUGCCCGCCAGAGGACCCCAAACUCUGAAUCUACGUGUCGUCUGAGUACUAUAUAAUAGUUAAAACUUUCAACAACGGAUCUCUUGGUUCUGGCAUCGAUGAAGAACGCAGCGAAAUGCGAUAAGUAAUGUGAAUUGCAGAAUUCAGUGAAUCAUCGAAUCUUUGAACGCACAUUGCGCCCCCUGGUAUUCCGGGGGGCAUGCCUGUUCGAGCGUCAUUAUAACCCUCAAGCCCGGCUUGGUGUUGGGGCCUGCCGGGACCGGCAGCCCUUAAACUCAGUGGCGGCGCCGUCGGGCUCUAAGCGUAGUAACUCNUCUCGCUAUAGGGACCCGGCGGACGCUGGCCAGCAACCCCCAACUUUCUAUGGUUGACCUCGGAUCAGGUAGGGAUACCCGCUGAACUUAAGCAUAUCAAUAAGCGGAGGAAAAGAAACCAACAGGGAUUGCCUCAGUAACGGCGAGUGAAGCGGCAGCAGCUCAAAUUUGAAAUCUGGCCUUCUCAGGGUCCGAGUUGUAAUUUGUAGAAGAUGCUUCGGGUGUGGCCCCGGUCUAAGUUCCUUGGAACAGGACGUCAUAGAGGGUGAGAAUCCCGUAUGUGACUGGGCGCCUUCGCUCAUGUGAAGCUCUUUCGACGAGUCGAGUUGUUUGGGAAUGCAGCUCAAAAUGGGUGGUAAAUUUCAUCUAAAGCUAAAUAUUGGCCAGAGACCGAUAGCGCACAAGUAGAGUGAUCGAAAGAUGAAAAGCACUUUGGAAAGAGAGUUAAACAGUACGUGAAAUUGUUGAAAGGGAAGCGCUUGCAACCAGACUUGCGCGCGGUGGAUCAUCCGGUGUUCUCACCGGUGCACUCCGCCGCGCUCAGGCCAGCAUCGGUUUCGGUGGUUGGAGAAAGGCCCUGGGAAUGUGGCUCCUCUCGGGGAGUGUUAUAGCCCUGGGUGCAAUGCAGCCUACCGGGACCGAGGACCGCGCUUCGGCUAGGAUGCUGGCGUAAUGGUUGUAAGCGACC